rnacentral:rRNA from 1 species
UACGUAGGGUGCGAGCGUUGUCCGGAAUUAUUGGGCGUAAAGGGCUCGUAGGCGGUUUGUCACGUCGGGAGUGAAAACACGGGGCUUAACCCCGUGCCUGCUUCCGAUACGGGCUGACUAGAGGUAUGCAGGGGAGAACGGAAUUCCUGGUGUAGCGGUGAAAUGCGCAGAUAUCAGGAGGAACACCGGUGGCGAAGGCGGUUCUCUGGGCAUUACCUGACGCUGAGGAGCGAAAGUGUGGGGAGCGAACAGG